rnacentral:tRNA from 1 species
GCGCCUUUAGCUCAGUGGUAGAGCGCGUCGUUGACAUCGACGAGGCCGGAAGUUCGAUCCUUCCAAGGCGCACCU